GCCAGAAGUAUGUACGGAAAGCUUGGGAGAAGGCAGACAUCAAUACAAAGUGGGCCGCCACACGAUGGGCCAAGAAAAUUGAUGCCAGAGAAAGGAAAGCCAAGAUGACAGAUUUUGAUCGGUUCAAAGUCAUGAAGGCAAAGAAAAUGGUAAGUUUUCAGAUGUAUGUUUGUAUUUGAUGCAGGGUAAAAGGGCAUGGUAGCCAGCCCCUUUCAUGGUGGUGUAGGUGAUAGGUGUUUAAAAUUCCUGUUAGGUGAGGCCAGCAAGACAGCUGGGGUACCUGGUAUAUUUUGUGUGAUCCUGUAGCAAAUGCUCUCCUGUGUUCUUUUUUUCAGAGGAACAGAAUAAUCAAGACUGAAGUGAAGAAACUCCAGAGAGCUGCUCUCCUGAAAGCUUCUCCUAAAAAAGCUGCUGUUGCUAAGGCUGCCAUUGCGGCCGCUGCAGCAGCUAAAGCCAAGGUCCCAGCCAAGAAGGCAACAGGACCAGGCCAGAAGGCCGCAGGCCAGAAGGCCGCAGGCCAGAAGGCCUCUGCACAGAAGGCUGCAGGCCAGAAGGCAGCGCCCCCUGCUAAAGGUCAGAAGGGUCAGAAGACCCCGGCCCAGAAGGCACCUGCUCCAAAGGCAGCUGGCAAGAAAGCAUGAGGAGGCUACACAAAGAAUAAAGGUUCUUUUUGACUG
rnacentral:lncRNA from 1 species